UUUGUGUCUUAAGAUACUCUAGAAUUAAACGAAUAAUAUGCAAGCAUGUUAACUACCUCAAGAAUUCAUCAACCUAGAACUAGCGAAUGUGUCCAAACUACGAUCAAGGAAAUGCAAAUAUGAGAUCAAUCUCUCAAAUCAAACUUUAGGGAGGGACAAAUGAUAUGGUCUAAAAUAAGUCUUACCGUCGAGAUAUUUACAUGUGUCACUCGUCGAUCCAAAUUAAUACAAUUUGAGGCAUCUUCUUGCUAUUCCGCCGGGAUGACCAUGAGCCAAGAAAGGUCAUAGGAAUCAAGACAUAAUCAAUACAGCUCACAUGGUCAAGCGUUGAUCUUGGUAGGACCUCUGCUGUUGAUGCUACAUAAAGCUCAUUGGGGAUUCCCUAAGAAAUCCCCACAAAGGAGCAUAUACCAAAAGUCCCAUCAUUUCAACGAUCAAACUCCAAGCGAGCUUAGCCAUGCCGAAGCUAUGCAAUCACAUAAUUACAAUUGCUUCAAUCACUAUAUCCCAUCCAAUCACCAUGUCGCCUAGCCAAUAUAAAUAGAAGAGACAAAGGCUCAAACAAGGGGAGAUACUCUUUUAGGUUCUUGCAUCUCUGAUCCUUAUGCCGACUUCAUAUCCUUAGAACAGGAACCAACUUAACCAUUAAAUGUUUUACAAUGGGGAACCCACCGACCUCAUCACAAGUCAUAACCAACCAUCUUGCGUAUUGCAUGUUCCACACAUUAAAUCCUCAAAGUCUUCGUAUUUCCGACCGGCAUCAAAUACUGCUUAAUCCCAUGGUGUUUAAUGUUAACCUUUAUAUCUCCCUACGCAGCAGCAUUACCCUCUUCUGCAGCAGCCUCAAAUGUCUCCCCAGCCACAAGAUCUGGGAUCACCUCAUCAUCAUCAUCCACUUGUGCUGUGGUUGCUGUAGCACCUGCACCUGGUGCCUGCUUCUGGAUCUGCUCCGCCAACUUCUUCAAGUUGUCCAAAUUAUCAGGACCCAAAUGGCUGAGAACUUGAGGGAGAAUAUCCUGCAAUUUCUUGGUCUGUGGAGAUCCA
rnacentral:misc_RNA from 1 species